GGAUAUAAACCUGCCCAGGUUCGAGGAAAGAGCAGAGAUGGGUUGGUAGAACAACCAGUUCGAACAGUACUUUCCAGCUGUCCAAGCCGGUGGUCCGUUAUGGAAUCAUUAAGAAACUGAAGCAAUCUGCUGAACUGAGAUAAAGGUUUUCCGACACCAUGGCUUUUCACUACAACGAAGCCUUUGAGAACGCGGAGUAUCCUUCCUCUGAGUCCCUGGAGGCAGAUGACCCAGGCUAUCACUAUGCGGAAACACUGGAGAUUGACCGAAUGAGAUCUGCUGAAAGAAGCACUUCUUUCCAUUACAACCCCUACGAUUCCUCUGCCUACAAUUCCUAUGGAGAGCACAACGAGGAAAGGACACGGAGGCAGAAUCCCUCCAUUCAUAUACCCAUGAACUCAAGGCGGAUUCCGGAUUCCAGUAGCGAGUACGGAUUAAGAGAUUCUUCAUUUGGAACGCCCAGUUCAAAUCCAUAUGGAAAUGCACAUGUCAAUCCUUCAUUUGACUACGAGGCGGAAUUUGCACAGACUUUACCUACGGACAGUCAUGCUCCGAAUCACCAUUAUACUCGGAAAACCUUCUGCUCCAUCCAACGGAGAAGAAAAAUUAAUUGGUGAACUCAUAGCCCUGUCCACGCGUGAAAGGAUUAAAGCAAUCCAGAAGAUUCCAAAACCAAUGAAAGAAAAGCGAACUAUCAGGAAUCACGUUCUGCUGGAGAAAACCAAAAAGUCCUUCAGCGGUAAUACUCAAAUUAACUGUUGCACCCAGUGUUUCUACAGUACAGCCUUGUCUUUCCGGCAGUUUAAAAAUAGCCUGGGCGACUGCUUUCAGAGUUUCAAGCUUUGGCAAAAGAUUCUCAAAGACAUUGGCGGCAAAUUUGGGACCAGCGUUCGAUCCUAUUUCGUAUUUCUGACCUGGCUCCUGACGGUGAACCUUUUCUCCUUCCUGGUGAAUUUCAGUUUUAUUACGAUCCCUCAGCUCAUCGCAGCCGCACCGAAUAACCUUUCGUUCAUUGGCUUGGAGUUCUUUACCGGAGCCGUAAGUAGAGGAAAAUCAGGGUCAGAACUGGGUUUGGAUAUUUAUGUCAUUAAGUGGCCGAAAUGAAUG
rnacentral:lncRNA from 11 species